GCUUAGCGCCCCCUCGCGGCCCAAGUGCGCAUAUGCAUUUAACGUUGUUGUGCUGCAAUCUCUACAGGGGCGAUGAAAAAAUCUUUGGCGAAUGUUGUGGCAUCUGGCGCUGACACGACCAACUCUCUCUGUCUGUCCCCAACAGUUUAUUUAUUUCGCAAGAAUUCCGUGGAGGAAACAUUUUUUUCCAUGUUUGAAGUCUUGCUUGGUGAUGGAAUGAGUCAUUUUCUGAAGCAAUGAGAUGGAAGGAACCUUCAUAGCAUCCAACAAACAAGGAUUUCUAUGAGGCAUUGUGUUUUCCACAUUGCAGACCUCUGUAUCACCAACUUAAAUGAGCCUCCACCUGUCCACCAUGAUCUCCCCCAAACUUAAUCCACACCUCUUCUUCAGGAAUUGCCCCAUCGUGAGUUGUGAGAAAUCCAUUCCUGUGGAAAGAUGAUGGAACAUGAACAUAUGGUCUGUGACUCUGCUAUGGACCUAGUGAAUCACUGUUGACUGUCCAUAGUUCAAGUGAGGAUUGGCAAACCUGGUCAUUUCUUGAUUACCUACAGAAUGCAAUUGCAACAUAUGCAAAAUCUUAUGCAGGAAUGGGGCUAUAGCAGUGAUGGGACACUACAUUUGACUGUGAAGAUCAGACGAUGCAAUUCCCGUUGGUCAGCCCCCCCCCCCACCCCAAGGAGCCAUGCACUGCCAGAGAUCUUGAGCCAGGUCUUCAGUGGUUAUCCAUUGAUAAGAAGAACGGAGAUAAUAAAGACAGUGAGGUAUCUUGUUGAUUUCGACGUGACCAUCUUCCUAACGCUUCUUCCAAACAAUGAACUGGAGGCUCUUUCCACGAAUGAAUGUUUAGCUGCUUCAAGUGUGAUUCCAGCUUUUUCAAGAGCUUCUUGUUGUUCUACUUCUACUGGCCUUUAUUGUAGUUAACAUGUCCUGUGAAUGUUUUUAGGAGCCCAGUUUUGCUACAAACACAGUAAACCUCAAGUUCACAUAUAGUUAAAAAACGGUCUACUUGUAACAUUAUCUAGGAAAAAGUUCUACAAAUUGGACAUGGUGAAACUUUUCAUUCAUUAUGUUUUCAGUAUUUACUGAGGUACUCACUACAAAAG